rnacentral:rRNA from 1 species
UCUACGGGGGGCAGCAGUGAGGAAUAUUGGUCAAUGGCCGGAAGGCUGAACCAGCCAAGUCGCGUGAGGGAAUAAGGCCCUAUGGGUCGUAAACCUCUUUUGUCAGGGAGCAAAGGCGUCCACGAGUGGACGAAAGGAGAGUACCUGAAGAAAAGCAUCGGCUAACUCCGUGCCAGCAGCCGCGGUAAUACGGAGGAUGCGAGCGUUAUCCGGAUUUAUUGGGCGUAAAGCGAGUGCAGGCGGUUCCAUAAGUCUGAUGUUAAAGCCUUCGGCCCAACCGGAGAAUUGCA